GAGUUUGAUCUUGGCUCAGGACGAACGCUGGCGGCGUGCCUAAUACAUGCAAGUCGAGCGAAUCAAUAGGAGCUUGCUUCUGUUGGUUAGCGGCGGACGGGUGAGUAACACGUGGGCAACCUGCCUGUAAGACUGGGAUAACACCGGGAAACCGGUGCUAAUACCGGAUAACUCUUUCCCUCUCAUGAGGGAAAGUUGAAAGUCGGUUUCGGCUGACACUUACAGAUGGGCCCGCGGCGCAUUAGCUAGUUGGUGAGGUAACGGCUCACCAAGGCGACGAUGCGUAGCCGACCUGAGAGGGUGAUCGGCCACACUGGGACUGAGACACGGCCCAGACUCCUACGGGAGGCAGCAGUAGGGAAUCUUCCACAAUGGACGAAAGUCUGAUGGAGCAACGCCGCGUGAGCGAUGAAGGCCUU
rnacentral:rRNA from 1 species